AUCUGAGGCAUUUAAACUUAAGAGUCAGUUUUCUGAGGAGAACGGAUAACGGUCCGUCUGAGAAAAAUAUGCGGAGUUAUGGAGUUAUUGCGCUGCAUUUCUGCUUAAAGCAAACUGUCACGUUCAGGAUUUAAUGUCAGCCAUGUGAUUAACACGUCGUCUUUAGUUUACUGAGGAAAUUCUCGUCUUCAAUCCAGCGUUGAUUACCAGAGCUACAGAAGAACAACCGCCGUAUCAUCAGAAACAGACCAAAACUCUUCAGAAAAGUUGAAGGUAGCUGGACAGGACAUGAAAUCAAGAUCGAGGGGGGAUAGGAUUGGGAAAGGUCCACAAGCAGGGAUUCAAAUUCGGGACAUGCCUUUCUACACCAAUAUGCUUUCAGCACAUUGCAAUUACAUAGCAAGGUAAGUUUACAUUUGCAUAGAUUUUGUAUAAGUGUGUUGUUUGUAGUAUCUGUUUUUCAUAAGACAUAAGCAUAUUAUUGAGGUUGGUAAUUCUAUACUGUUAUUAUAUUUAUUAGUGCUGUCAAAUGAUUAAUUAGGUUUUAAUUUAUAGUAUGUAUACACAUGCAUGCAAGCUUGAAAAAAUGUUUAUUUUAAGCCCCCUUUUUUCUUGGUUCAGGCAGUUCUUGAAAUGUUUUCCUUUACUGGCAAAAACAUUUUUAACUCUAUAUUAGCUCAGCAUUGUUUCUCGUUUUGACCAAUUUGAGCAUCCAUAACCAAUGCACAACCUAAAAAUAGUUCCUAUGUAAAAUAAUCUCUUCCUGGUCUCCAUUAGAAUUUUGUGUUGCACAAUGAAAAUUUGCAAAAAAAUCUACAGGCUCAUGAAGAUGAUUCUAUUCCAUUAGGUUUGUUUCUCACUUUAAAUCUGUUUUACAGUCAGCAACAAUAAUCUUGUAAGCAACACAUACGAAACUUGCACACAUAUGAAAAUUGGCACUCACAUCAAACAUGCUAAUAC